rnacentral:piRNA from 1 species
UGGAAAGCUGUCUGGUGAGGUUGCUC